UGUAAGCGUAUACCAAAGUUGUUGCAGUUAAAACGCUCGUAGUCGGAAUUUGGCAGUUCCGGAUGUGUGCACGUCGUGUGCGCACUUCGCGGGGAUUGCUUUUGUGGUCUUGCGUAGGAUGAGGCACUUUUAUUAGUGAACGUCCUCACGCAACCACUUUUUACUGUGAGAAAAUCAGAGUGCUCAAAGCAGGCAUUUGCCGUGAAUGUAUUAGCAUGGAAUAAUAGAAUAGGACUUGGUUCUAUUUUGUUGGUUUGUUGGGACUGAGUAAUGAUUAAGAGGGACAGUUGGGGGCAUUUGUAUUUCGGUGCUAGAGGUGAAAUUCUUAGAUUACCGAAAGACAAACUGCUGCGAAAGCGUCUGCCAAGGAUGUUUUCAUUGAU
rnacentral:rRNA from 1 species